rnacentral:rRNA from 1 species
UACGUAGGGUGCAAGCGUUGUCCGGAAUUAUUGGGCGUAAAGAGCUCGUAGGCGGUCUGUCGCGUCGGCUGUGAAAUCCCGAGGCUCAACCUCGGGUCUGCAGUCGAUACGGGCAAACUAGAGUAUUGCAGGGGAGACUGGAAUUCCUGGUGUAGCGGUGAAAUGCGCAGAUAUCAGGAGGAACACCGGUGGCGAAGGCGGGUCUCUGGGCAAUAACUGACGCUGAGACGCGAAAGCGUGGGGAGCAAACAGG